CUCGUAGGCGGUUUGGUAAGUCGGGUGUGAAAUCUCCACGCUCAACGUGGAGGGGCCACUCGAUACUGCCAUGACUCGAGUCCGGUAGAGGAGUGUGGAAUUCCCGGUGUAGCGGUGAAAUGCGCAGAUAUCGGGAGGAACACCCGUAGCGAAGGCGGCACUCUGGGCCGGCACUGACGCUGAGGAGCGAAAGCGUGGGGAGCAAACA
rnacentral:rRNA from 1 species